AUACGGAGGGUGCAAGCGUUAAUCGGAAUUACUGGGCGUAAAGCGUACGUAGGCGGCAAGUUAAGUUAGAUGUGAAAGCCCCGGGCUCAACCUGGGAACUGCAUUUAAAACUGGCUUGCUAGAGUUGAGUAGAGGGGAGUGGAAUUUCAGGUGUAGCGGUGAGAUGCGUAGGGAUCUGAAGGAACACCAGUGGCGAAGGCGACUCCCUGGACUCGAACUGACGCUGAGGCCCGAAAGCGUGGGGAGCAAACAGGAUUAGAUACCCUAGUAGUCC
rnacentral:rRNA from 1 species